rnacentral:rRNA from 1 species
CCUACGGGGGGCAGCAGUGAGGAAUAUUGGUCAAUGGACGAGAGUCUGAACCAGCCAAGUAGCGUGAAGGAUGACUGCCCUAUGGGUUGUAAACUUCUUUUAUAUGGGAAUAAAAUGUUCCACGUGUGGGAUUUUGUAUGUACCAUAUGAAUAAGGAUCGGCUAACUCCGUGCCAGCAGCCGCGGUAAUACGGAGGAUCCGAGCGUUAUCCGGAUUUAUUGGGUUUAAAGGGAGCGUAGGUGGAUUGUUAAGUCAGUUGUGAAAGUUUGCGGCUCAACCGUAAAAUUGCAGUUGAAACUGGCAGUCUUGAGUACAGUAGAGGUGGGCAGAAUUCGUGGUGUAGCGGUGAAAUACUUAGAUAUCACGAAGAACUCCGAUUGCGAAGGCAGUUCACUGGACUGCAACUGACACUGAGGCUCGAAAGUGUGGGUAUCAAACAGGAUUAGAUACCCGGGUAGUC